UACGGAGGGGGCGAGCGUUAUUCGGAAUUAUUGGGCGUAAAGGGCGCGUAGGCGGCUGUACAAGUCAAAGGUGAAAUCCCUCGGCUCAACUGAGGAACUGCCUUUGAAACUGUACGCUUGAGGCCGGGAGGGGGUAGCGGAAUUCCCAGUGUAGCGGUGAAAUGCGUAGAUACUGGGAGGAACACCAGUGGCGAAGGCGGCUACCUGGACCGGUUCUGACGCUGAUGCGCGAAAGCGUGGGUAGCAAACAGG
rnacentral:rRNA from 1 species